UGGGGAAUAUUGGACAAUGGGCGAAAGCCUGAUCCAGCAAUGCCGCGUGAGUGAUGAAGGCCUUAGGGUUGUAAAGCUCUUUUACCCGGGAAGAUAAUGACUGUACCGGGAGAAUAAGCUCCGGCUAACUCCGUGCCAGCAGCCGCGGUAAUACGGAGGGAGCUAGCGUUAUUCGGAAUUACUGGGCGUAAAGCGCACGUAGGCGGCUUUGCAAGUUAGAGGUGAAAGCCCGGGGCUCAACCCCGGAAUUGCCUUUAAAACUGCAUCGCUUGAAUCCAGGAGAGGUGAGUGGAAUUCCGAGUGUAGAGGUGAAAUUCGUAGAUAUUCGGAAGAACACCAGUGGCGAAGGCGGCUCACUGGACUGGUAUUGACGCUGAGGUGCGAAAGCGUGGGGAGCAAACA
rnacentral:rRNA from 1 species